rnacentral:rRNA from 1 species
GUAGGUGGCAAGCGUUGUCCGGAAUUAUUGGGCGUAAAGCGCGCGCAGGCGGUUCUUUAAGUCUGAUGUGAAAGCCCACGGCUCAACCGUGGAGGGUCAUUGGAAACUGGAGAACUUGAGUACAGAAGAGGAAAGCGGAAUUCCACGUGUAGCGGUGAAAUGCGUAGAGAUGUGGAGGAACACCAGUGGCGAAGGCGGCUUUCUGGUCUGUAACUGACGCUGGGGCGCGAAAGCGUGGGGAGCAAACAGGGAUUAGAUACCCUGGUAGUCCACGCCGUAAACGAUGAGUGCUAAGUGUUAGGGGGGUUUCCGCCCCCUUAGUGCUGCAGCUAACGCAUUAAGCACUCCGCCUGGGGAGUACGGCCGCAAGGCUG